rnacentral:rRNA from 1 species
UGAGGAAUAUUGCGCAAUGGGGGAAACCCUGACGCAGCGAUGCCGCGUGAGUGAAGAAGGCCUUCGGGUCGUAAAGCUCUGUCAAGCGGGAAGAACAGCUCUAGGGCUAAUAUCCCUAGGGUGUGACGGUACCGCUGAAGGAAGCACCGGCUAACUCCGUGCCAGCAGCCGCGGUAAGACGGAGGGUGCGAGCGUUAUUCGGAAUUAUUGGGCGUAAAGGGUGUGCAGGCGGUCGGCCAAGCCAGAGGUGAAAGCCCGGGGCUCAACCUCGGAAGUGCCUUUGGAACUGGUCGACUUGAGUUCGGGAGAGGAAAGCGGAAUUCCGGGUGUAGAGGUGAAAUUCGUAGAUAUCCGGAGGAACACCGGUGGCGAAGGCGGCUUUCUGGACCGAAACUGACGCUGAGACACGAAAGCGUGGGGAGCAAACAGG